UAACGUGGCGUCGAGCCAUUGGUUCGAUCAUGCCGACAACUGCUUCAAUUACCAAAUUACCCCUAUUCAUCCCAAGAUAUUCACGAUAUCUACCCCUGCUCGCCUUCUCGCACUUCGCGUCUCAUCAGCUCAAGUUCAUGACUGGGAGCGACUCUCAGUCUCUCUCGCUCUCUCUCGGCCAUGUCUUCUUGAAUUUCAGCGGAUUCUGUGAAAUAUCCUUAGGUUUCACAGCCAAAGCAAUCGAUUUUGGCGGAAGAACCCUAGGUUCUGCUUUAGAUCCAGUGCGAAUCUCAACUAAAAGAUUCCAAGAACAGAGAAAUUAGUGAUUGCCAACUCUUACUUGAUAUUCUACUGAAAAUGGGGAAAUUUUCGUCUUCUGAUACUAAUCUUGAUGUGUAUGUUGCUUGCUACUUUCAAAGUUCGUCGUUCUACUUACACGUUUUAAAGUAUGAAAUCGGGCUAUAUGCUGUUAGCUACAGUUGCUUUUUGCUUUUAUGCUCCAUUUUUGCAUUUUACUGUUGUUAUUGCUAUAUUUUAUCGUCUUCGUUUAUUUUUGGACAUUUAUACUCUCUAAGAAUGGGUUAUUUAAUGUCUGCAGUUAAUUUUUGGACGUGGCUUAAGAUUUGGUGUCUUAUCAGGAUAUUUUUUUAUAACUAGCGGUGAUCUGGUAUUUAAUUUUUGAAUUUAUGGAGAAGUUUUUAUCUGACCAAGAUCCAACCUUGUCCAACUCUAUGAAUUUAUGCCUGAUUUUGAUUCUAAGCUUCUCACUCGCAUUUAAAAAUGUUUUACUUUUACAUUAUACUUUUUGUAUCCUCUAUCCAUUUAGAAUUAUUUUCUGAAA